AUGCAAGGACGCAACAUACUAGAUGGAGUUGCUGUGCUGCAUGAAAUUGUGCAUGAGCUUCACCAUAAAAAGUUUAAUGAAGUCAUCUUCAAAAUAGACUUCGAAGAAGCAUAUGAAAAAGUCAAAUGGCCCUUUCUUUUGCAAACUUUAUGCAUGAAGGGGUUUUCAUCAAAAUGGUGUAGAUGGGUAGAGAGUUUUGUUUCUGAAGGUACUGUGGCUAACAAAGACAACGAUGAUGUUGGCAACUACUUUUAG
rnacentral:rRNA from 1 species